UACGGAGGGUGCAAGCGUUAAUCGGAAUUACUGGGCGUAAAGCGCACGUAGGCGGUUUAUUAAGUCGGAUGUGAAAGCCCUGGGCUCAACCUGGGAACUGCACUCGAUACUGGUAAACUAGAAUUUGGGAGAGGUGAGUGGAAUUUCCGGUGUAGCGGUGAAAUGCAUAGAGAUCGGAAGGAACACCAGUGGCGAAGGCGACUCACUGGACCAAAAUUGACGCUGAGGUGCGAAAGCGUGGGUAGCAAACAGG
rnacentral:rRNA from 1 species